rnacentral:rRNA from 1 species
GAUGAACGCUGGCGGCGUGCCUAAUACAUGCAAGUCGAGCGAACAGACGAGGAGCUUGCUCCUCUGACGUUAGCGGCGGACGGGUGAGUAACACGUGGAUAACCUACCUAUAAGACUGGGAUAACUUCGGGAAACCGGAGCUAAUACCGGAUAAUAUAUUGAACCGCAUGGUUCAAUAGUGAAAGACGGCUUUGCUGUCACUUAUAGAUGGAUCCGCGCCGCAUUAGCUAGUUGGUAAGGUAACGGCUUACCAAGGCAACGAUGCGUAGCCGACCUGAGGGGGUGAUCGGCCACACUGGAACUGAGACACGGUCCAGACUCCUACGGGAGGCAGCAGUAGGGAAUCUUCCGCAAUGGGCGAAAGCCUGACGGAGCAACGCCGCGUGAGUGAUGAAGGUCUUCGGAUCGUAAAACUCUGUUAUUAGGGAAGAACAAAUGUGUAAGUAACUAUGCACGUCUUGACGGUACCUAAUCAGAAAGCCACGGCUAACUACGUG